UGCUUCACAGUAAAGAUGGCAACCAGUC
rnacentral:piRNA from 1 species